AGCCACAGCCAUAUCACCCUGAAGCCCAAGAGCGGUUACUUACUGAAGCUAAGCAGGGUUAAGUCUGGUCAGUACCUGGAUGGGAGACCACAUUGGAAAACUAGCUUGCUGUUGGAA
rnacentral:rRNA from 1 species